GAUGAACGCUGGCGGCGUGCCUAAUACAUGCAAGUCGAGCGAACGGACGAGAAGCUUGCUUCUCUGAUGUUAGCGGCGGACGGGUGAGUAACACGUGGAUAACCUACCUAUAAGACUGGGAUAACUUCGGGAAACCGGAGCUAAUACCGGAUAAUAUUUUGAACCGCAUGGUUCAAAAGUAAAAGACGGUCUUGCUGUCACUUAUAGAUGGAUCCGCGCUGCAUUAGCUAGUUGGUAAGGUAACGGCUUACCAAGGCAACGAUGCAUAGCCGACCUGAGAGGGUGAUCGGCCACACUGGAACUGAGACACGGUCCAGACUCCUACGGGAGGCAGCAGUAGGGAAUCUUCCGCAAUGGGCGAAAGCCUGACGGAGCAACGCCGCGUGAGUGAUGAAGGUCUUCGGAUCGUAAAACUCUGUUAUUAGGGAAGAAUAUAUGUGUAAGUAACUGUGCACAUCUUGACGGUACCUAAUCAGAAAGCCACGGCUAACUACGUGCCAGCAGCCGCGGUAAUACGUAGGUGGCAAGCGUUAUCGGGAAUUAUUGGGCGUAAAGCGCGCGUAGGCGGUUUUUUAAGUCUGAUGUGAAAGCCCACGGCUCAACCGUGGAGGGUCAUUGGAAACUGGAAAACUUGAGUGCAGAAGAGGAAAGUGGAAUUCCAUGUGUAGCGGUGAAAUGCGCAGAGAUAUGGAGGAACACCAGUGGCGAAGGCGACUUUCUGGUCUGUAACUGACGCUGAUGUGCGAAAGCGUGGGGAUCAAACAGGAUUAGAUACCCUGGUAGUCCACGCCGUAAACGAUGAGUGCUAAGUGUUAGGGGGUUUCCGCCCCUUAGUGCUGCAGCUAACGCAUUAAGCACUCCGCCUGGGGAGUACGACCGCAAGGUUGAAACUCAAAGGAAUUGACGGGGACCCGCACAAGCGGUGGAGCAUGUGGUUUAAUUCGAAGCAACGCGAAGAACCUUACCAAAUCUUGACAUCCUUUGACAACUCUAGAGAUAGAGCCUUCCCCUUCGGGGGACAAAGUGACAGGUGGUGCAUGGUUGUCGUCAGCUCGUGUCGUGAGAUGUUGGGUUAAGUCCCGCAACGAGCGCAACCCUUAAGCUUAGUUGCCAUCAUUAAGUUGGGCACUCUAAGUUGACUGCCGGUGACAAACCGGAGGAAGGUGGGGAUGACGUCAAAUCAUCAUGCCCCUUAUGAUUUGGGCUACACACGUGCUACAAUGGACAAUACAAAGGGCAGCGAAACCGCGAGGUCAAGCAAAUCCCAUAAAGUUGUUCUCAGUUCGGAUUGUAGUCUGCAACUCGACUACAUGAAGCUGGAAUCGCUAGUAAUCGUAGAUCAGCAUGCUACGGUGAAUACGUUCCCGGGUCU
rnacentral:rRNA from 1 species